UUGACCUCGGAUCAGGCAGGGAUACCCGCUGAACUUAAGCAUAUCAAUAAGCGGAGGAAAAGAAACCAACAGGGAUUGCCUCAGUAACGGCGAGUGAAGCGGCAACAGCUCAAAUUUGAAAUCUGGCUCUUUUAGGGUCCGAGUUGUAAUUUGUAGAGGAUGCUUCGGCGUCGGCUCCGGUCUAAGUUCCUUGGAACAGGACGUCAUAGAGGGUGAGAAUCCCGUAUGUGAUCGGUUGCUCUUGCCAUGUGAAGCUCCUUCGACGAGUCGAGUUGUUUGGGAAUGCAGCUCUAAAUGGGAGGUAAACUUUCUCUCUAAACGUUAAUAUUUCGGGCCCAAAAACACCCGUAUAGGCCGCCCAAAUUUUAAAGGGUUACUCGAAAAGUGUUGAAAGCGCCCCUUUUUUGGAGAAAAGAAAAAGAUGUUCAAAAAAAAAGCCCCCGGGAAAAAAUA
rnacentral:rRNA from 1 species